rnacentral:rRNA from 1 species
UACGGGGGGGGCAAGCGUUGUUCGGAAUUACUGGGCGUAAAGGGCUCGUAGGUGGCCAACUAAGUCAGACGUGAAAUCCCUCGGCUUAACCGGGGAACUGCAUCUGAUACUGGAUGGCUUGAGUUUGGGAGAGGGAUGCGGAAUUCCAGGUGUAGCGGUGAAAUGCGUAGAUAUCUGGAGGAACACCGGUGGCGAAGGCGGAUCUUUGGGCCUGUUCUGACGCUGAGGCGCGAAAGCUAGGGGAGCGAACAGG